CUACGGGACGCACCAGUGGGGAAUAUUGCACAAUGGGCGCAAGCCUGAUGCAGCCAUGCCGCGUGUAUGAAGAAGGCCUUCGGGUUAUAAAGUACUUUCAGCGGGGAGGAAGGGAGUAAAGUUAAUACCUUUGCUCAUUGACGUUACCCGCAGAAGAAGCACCGGCUAACUCCGUGCCAGCAGCCGCGGUAAUACGGAGGGUGCAAGCGUUAAUCGGAAUUACUGGGCGUAAAGCGCAUGCAGGCGGUUUGUUAAGUCAGAUGUGAAAUCCCCGGGCUCAACCUGGGAACUGCAUCUGAUACUGGCAAGCUUGAGUCUCGUAGAGGGGGGUAGAAUUCCAGGUGUAGCGGUGAAAUGCGUAGAGAUCUGGAGGAAUACCGGUGGCGAAGGCGGCCCCCUGGACGAAGACUGACGCUCAGGUGCGAAAGCGUGGGGAGCAGACAGGAUUAGAUACCCCCGUAGUC
rnacentral:rRNA from 1 species